AAGUUACUUUGUAAGCGUGGGUCACCCUGGAGCUUCAGACCCUCACAAGCCUUGAGAUGGUUAACGCCAUACUAGAGUCUGUUUGUAUGAGUGUCUCAAGCUGUGGCAGUGAGAGCUCUCAUACUUACAUUCUCUCUCUCUUGUCAAAACCCACUCACGUUAUGGUAGACAGCUGUCGUGAUGCAGCAGUUACGCAUGAUUCAGGAAGGCGAAGGCUCACACUGCAUGAUCAUCUGGGAACAGCUCAUGUGCCUGGAGCGCUACAUUACUCUACGUGUGGGAUUCCCUCUUGCAGCAACAUCCUGGUGCUGCAGCAGCAGCAGUUCUUGCCACUACCAUCCUCCUUGCAACACGUCUUAAGCUUUCCAGGACGUGUUCUGUGUUUUCUUUAGUGUUUUCUUCCGUGUAGUGUUCGUAAUCACCGGCCUGGCUUGUCUUCUCGGUAUAAAAGAGCACAAGUCGGAAAUAAUGAUCGCCUCUUUUACAUUUACUUAAAUUCCAUAUUGCCUCUGAUCACUUUAUUGUUUGGUUUGUGUAAUGGUAGCUUUAUGGUUUGUGUCAGCGUUUUUGCAGCUAAACAUGUCCAUUAAUUUUGAAGAAAUAUUACUACGUAAUAUGAUUUACGAUAAGAAAGGAGAGAGAAGUAAUAAGUUUUGAUAGACACGGAUUAGAGGUCACUUCCAUAAGUCCUGGUCAUAUUUACUAAAAAACUUUGGUCAUAUUUAUCCAUAUUGUUAUUGGUUUCAUCGUUAUUUGCUUAUUUAAACCUCCUUUAUGUUACACACAAUUAUGGUGUUUUGUAUAUUGCAUAAAAUAGUACUAAAUAAUCGUACACUGCAGCACAUGUAGUCUACCGUUAUAAAAUAAUAUAUGAAUAUAUUUACAUAUUUUAACUGAUACCCUAAGAUUAUUAUUAUCAUCGUCCCAUCCUACUAAACAAACAACUGUUCACUUAUAGUGCUGACUUUCGAUGUGUUGCUGAACUCAGUGUUCUGGAACACAUGCACCACCUGUAUAUUAAAAAUAACAUGACACAGACUAUCUUCGCUGACGGCUGCUUUAACCUUGACAGUGUAGGAUGGGCGAGAAGUGGUGUUAUUAUAAACCAGUGUGAUGCUACUAUCAUACACAGGUGUAUACGAAUUAAUAACUGGGUUUCCACCUUAUAACUUGGAGUGUCUGUCAUACUUGUUGCUCUCAAGCUUGAAAAUUAAAUAACUACAGUGUCA